rnacentral:rRNA from 1 species
AUUGAACGCUGGCGGCGUGCUUAACACAUGCAAGUCGAGCGGUAAGGCCCUUUCGGGGGUACACGAGCGGCGAACGGGUGAGUAACACGUGGGUGACCUGCCCUCAGCUCUGGGAUAAGCCUGGGAAACCGGGUCUAAUACUGGAUAUGACUCCAUGACGCAUGUUGUGGGGUGGAAAGCCUUGUGCGGCUGAGGAUGGGCCCGCGGCCUAUCAGCUUGUUGGUGGGGNGAUGGCCUACCAAGGCGACGACGGGUAGCCGGCCUGAGAGGGCGACGGCCACACUGGGACUGAGACACGGCCCAGACUCCUACGGGAGGCAGCAGUGGGGAAUCUUGCGCAAUGGGCGAAAGCCUGACGCAGCGACGCCGCGUGAGGGAUGACGGCCUGGUGUAACU